GAAAAUUAAAGACCAAACUGCACAGUGUGGAUGUCGCAGCCAUCUGAUUUAAAAAGCCGUUCAAUCAAACAGCUAGCCCUUUGACUGAACAACG